UGCCAUGGGUNUACUGGAAUGACAGCUGUGU
rnacentral:piRNA from 1 species